rnacentral:rRNA from 1 species
GACGAACGCGGGCGGCGUGCUUAACACAUGCAAGUCGAACGGAAAGGCCCUGCUUUUGUGGGGUGCUCGAGUGGCGAACGGGUGAGUAACACGGGAGUAACCUGCCCUUGACUUUGGGAUAACUUCAGGAAACUGGGGCUAAUACCGGAUAGGAGCUCCGGCGGCAUGGUGGGGGUGGGAAAGUUUCGGCGGUUGGGGAUGGACUCGCGGCUUAUCAGCUUGUUGGUGGGGUAGUGGCUUACCAAGGCUUUGACGGGUAGCCGGCCUGAGAGGGUGACCGGCCACAUUGGGACUGAGAUACGGCCCAGACUCCUACGGGAGGCAGCAGUGGGGAAUAUUGCACAAUGGGCGGAAGCCUGAUGCAGCAACGCCGCGUGCGGGAUGACGGCCUUCGGGUUGUAAACCGCUUUCGCCUGUGACGAAGCGUGAGUGACGGUAAUGGGUAAAGAAGCACCGGCUAACUACGUG